UCUAUUACCAUCAUACGUAGGCAAUAGC
rnacentral:piRNA from 2 species